rnacentral:rRNA from 1 species
GAUGAACGCUAGCGGGAGGCCUAACACAUGCAAGCCGAGCGGUAUUUGUUCUUCGGAACAGAGAGAGCGGCGCACGGGUGCGGAACACGUGUGCAACCUGCCUUUAUCUGGGGGAUAGCCUUUCGAAAGGAAGAUUAAUACCCCAUAAUAUAUUGAGUGGCAUCACUUGAUAUUGAAAACUCCGGUGGAUAGAGAUGGGCACGCGCAAGAUUAGAUAGUUGGUGAGGUAACGGCUCACCAAGUCAAUGAUCUUUAGGGGGCCUGAGAGGGUGACCCCCCACACUGGUACUGAGACACGGACCAGACUCCUACGGGAGGCAGCAGUGAGGAAUAUUGGACAAUGGGUUAGCGCCUGAUCCAGCCAUCCCGCGUGAAGGACGACGGCCCUAUGGGUUGUAAACUUCUUUUGUAUAGGGAUAAACCUACUCUCGUGAGAGUAGCUGAAGGUACUAUACGAAUAAGCACCGGCUAACUCCGUG